CACACACACGCACACACAAAAAUUUGAUAAUCGAGAGACAUGGGCUGGUAGACGGGAGAGAGACAAGCUGGCAGCUGUUAGGACAGUGUGGGACAACUGGGUAGAGCAACUUCCACUACUCUAUAACCCAGGCCCUAAUGUCACAGUGGAUGAAAGGCUGGUGGCAUUCAGAGGUUGCUGCCCAUUUAGGCAAUACAUGCCUUCCAAACCAGCUAAAUAUGGGAUAAAAAUCUGUGCAGCAUGUGAUGCAAACACCAGCUAUGCAUUGAACAUGCAGGUUUACACUGGAAAGCCGGUGCAGGAGCUCCAGACAAGAAUCAGAGCAGAAGGGUCGUGCUUGACAUGGCACAGGGUCUCAGGGAACAGAAGAUAACCUGUGACAAUUUUUUCACAAAGUACAACUUGGAUCAGGAGCUUCUAAAGAGAAAGCUCACGAUGGUCGGAACUGUCCGAAAGAACAGGGCUGAACUCCCUGCUGAGCUGCUGGUAAUCAAGGACAGGGCCCCUCAAUCUUCCAUGUUUGCCUAGACAGACACCACAGCCCUAGUGUCUUACUGCCCCAAAAAGGCAAAAAAUGUUGUGCUCAUGAGCACUCUGCACAAAACUGCUGAAAUCAGCACAAGAGAGGACCAGAAACCAAGCAUGAUCCUUGAUUACAAUGCCACCAAAAGGCGGGUAGACAACUUUGACAAAGUCACAGGGUCCUAAAGCACCAAACGGAUGACUGCGCACUGGCCAUUGGUCAUCUUUUAUAACAUUAUCAAUGUAUCAGCCUACAAUGCAUUUAUCAUCUGGACGGAGAUAUUUCCUGACUGGAAUGUGUCAAAGCUGUACAAGAGGCGCAUCUCUCUCGAGGAGCUGGGGAAGGCGCUUGUGACACCGAACAUCCAACGGAGGCAGCACCUGCCAAGGACCCUCGCCGCUGCAGCCAUGGUGAGGGAGAUCCACGAGAGGACUGCAUCAAGUACACCAAUGCGUGAGGUUGCUGCUGAGGGGAAAAGAAAGAGGAAGAGGUGCCAGUUCUGCAGGCCAUCUGACGAUGUCAAGACAAGCAUGACCUGCGCUAAAUGUGCAAAAUUCAUUUGCUCAAAGCACAGUGUGAUGACAUGUCACUCAUGUGGUGUGGAGAUGUACAGACAGACAGACAGACACACACGCACAUACACCUUGUUCAUAUGGCAAUUGCUUGUUUGUUGUAUUGUUGUAUUGCGACUUUGUUCAUUUCUGGUUCACAAACAGUGCAUGUAUGUAAAACAAAAUUUAAAUGUUAAGUUUCAAUGUUGUGUAAAACUAUUGUGUUUUAUAUGUUGGUCUUUCAAAAGUAAUAAAGUGGUGAAACAUUAAAAAAAGUUUGAACAUGCAUUUUU